UUCCGGUUGAUCCUGCCGGACCCGACUGCUAUCAGAGUGGGACUAAGCCAUGCGAGUCAACGCCGCAAGGCGUGGCAUACGGCUCAGUAACACGUAGUCAACAUGCCCAGGGGACGUGGAUAACCUCGGGAAACUGAGGAUAAACCGCGAUAGGCCAAGGUUUCUGGAAUGGACCAUGGCUGAAACCUAUACGGCCCCUGGAUCGGACUGCGGCCGAUCAGGCUGUUGGUGAGGUAAUGGCCCACCAAACCUGUAACCGGUACGGGCUUUGAGAGAAGGAGCCCGGAGAUGGGCACUGAGACAAGGGCCCAGGCCCUAUGGGGCGCAGCAGGCGCGAAACCUCUGCAAUAGGCGAAAGCUUGACAGGGUUACUCUGAGUGAUGCCCGCUAAGGGCAUCUUUUGGCACCUCUAAAAAUGGUGCAGAAUAAGGGGUGGGCAAGUCUGGUGUCAGCCGCCGCGGUAAUACCAGCACCCCGAGUGGUCGGGACGAUUAUUGGGCCUAAAGCAUCCGUAGCUUGUUCUGCAAGUCCUCCGUUAAAUCCACCUGCUCAACAGAUGGGCUGCGGAGGAUACUACAGGGCUAGGAGGCGGGAGAGGCAAGCGGUACUCAGUGGGUAGGGGUAAAAUCCUCUGAUCCACUGAAGACCACCAGUGGCGAAGGCGGCUUGCCAGAACGCGCUCGACGGUGAGGGAUGAAAGCUGGGGGAGCAAACCGGAUUAGAUACCCGGGUAGUCCCAGCUGUAAACGAUGCAGACUCGGUGAUGGGUUGGCUUCGAGCCAACCCAGUGCCGCAGGGAAGCCGUUAAGUCUGCCGCCUGGGGAGUACGGUCGCAAGACUGAAACUUAAAGGAAUUGGCGGGGGAGCACCACAAGGGGUGAAGCCUGCGGUUCAAUUGGAGUCAACGCCGGA
rnacentral:rRNA from 1 species